rnacentral:rRNA from 1 species
UACGUAGGGUGCAAGCGUUAAUCGGAAUUACUGGGCGUAAAGCGUGCGCAGGCGGUUUUGUAAGUUUGUCGUGAAAGCCCCGGGCUCAACCUGGGAAUUGCGAUGAAGACUGCAAGGCUUGAAUCUGGCAGAGGGGGGUAGAAUUCCACGUGUAGCAGUGAAAUGCGUAGAGAUGUGGAGGAACACCGAUGGCGAAGGCAGCCCCCUGGGUCAAGAUUGACGCUCAGGCACGAAAGCGUGGGGAGCAAACAGG